rnacentral:rRNA from 1 species
UGGGGAAUUUUGGACAAUGGGCGAAAGCCUGAUCCAGCAAUGCCGCGUGUGUGAAGAAGGCCUUCGGGUUGUAAAGCACUUUUGUCCGGAAAGAAAUCCUUGGCUCUAAUACAGUCGGGGGAUGACGGUACCGGAAGAAUAAGCACCGGCUAACUACGUGCCAGCAGCCGCGGUAAUACGUAGGGUGCAAGCGUUAAUCGGAAUUACUGGGCGUAAAGCGUGCGCAGGCGGUUUGCUAAGACCGAUGUGAAAUCCCCGGGCUCAACCUGGGAACUGCAUUGGUGACUGGCAGGCUAGAGUAUGGCAGAGGGGGGUAGAAUUCCACGUGUAGCAGUGAAAUGCGUAGAGAUGUGGAGGAAUACCGAUGGCGAAGGCAGCCCCCUGGGCCAAUACUGACGCUCAUGCACGAAAGCGUGGGGAGCAAACAGGAUUAGAUACCCUGGUAGUCCACGCCCUAAACGAUGUCAACUAGUUGUUGGGGAUUCAUUUCCUUAGUAACGUAGCUAACGCGUGAAGUUGACCGCCUGGGGAGUACGGUCGCAAGAUUAAAACUUAAAGAAAUUGACGGGGUCAUAGCUGUUUCCU